rnacentral:rRNA from 1 species
UCUUGGGUGACGAGUGGCGGACGGGUGAGUAAUGUCUGGGAAACUGCCCGAUGGAGGGGGAUAACUACUGGAAACGGUAGCUAAUACCGCAUAACGUCUUCGGACCAAAGUGGGGGACCUUCGGGCCUCACACCAUCGGAUGUGCCCAGAUGGGAUUAGCUAGUAGGUGGGGUAAUGGCUCACCUAGGCGACGAUCCCUAGCUGGUCUGAGAGGAUGACCAGCCACACUGGAACUGAGACACGGUCCAGACUCCUACGGGAGGCAGCAGUGGGGAAUAUUGCACAAUGGGCGCAAGCCUGAUGCAGCCAUGCCGCGUGUAUGAAGAAGGCCUUCGGGUUGUAAAGUACUUUCAGUGGGGAGGAAGGCGAUGAAGUUAAUAGCUUCGUCGAUUGACGUUACCCGCA